CCUUUCUCAUGAGCGCUGUUGUCAUCAUCAUCAUUUGUCAUGAUCCAGUCUUGCUUGUGAGAAAGCUCAAAAUGAUUACAGCUGCCUUUUAGGCAUAUCCUGCCUUAAAAUGGCUUGUAAGUUGGUGGAGAAGAAGAUCACACCCUAUUUAUUUUCUCAAAUAAAAAGGGAAGAAUGGGAGCGAAAGAACUCUACUGGAGCAUCCGGGACUCAGGAAUUGGGUGUGUUUCGGAGGUCAUGUAGUUGAAUUCCCAGAUUUUACUAGCUUGGAAAAACUAAAAAUCGGAGGCUAGUGGGCCGUUAACCACACAUAGACGUAAAAGCACUCUUGCUUGAGAGAGAGUUGAUUUCAGUAACAUUACUUUGUUCUGGCUUUUCAAAGUGUGAUUUUUGUGGGCCCUUCCUGGUACAUUUUCAUGGUGGUUUUCUGUGUUGUGAUUAGGUCCCUAAGGCAUCUCCAGGCUGUCCUUUCACUGAUGAAGAGGAAUUCCACCCUGGUUUUCCCCCUCUGAGGGCUUUGCAUCCGGCUACUGUCUGUUCAGCAUUGACCUUUCCUGCUAUCUCAGUUAUAUCACGCUAAAUUAAGCAGAUGAAGAGACUGAGACUUAGGAUAGUCAAGACUUGGGCUAAUAAAUGGUGGUUGGGAACCAUGGUCUUAACUAUGAUGCCAUCGUCAGUCACCAUGCCUGAUGGGAUGUUUAUAUGUGUACCAGGGAGGUUUAGCGUCUUGUCGUUCGUUGCACGUGUAUACUUGGGAAGGACUCCAGUGUUCAUGCGCAGCGGGAAGUUUUUGCUUGGACAUUUCCUAACUGGAUUACAAGUGGCACAGGUGCAGGCAUUGUAGAUGCUUAUUUGUGUCCCACGUCCUGCAUCCACGCUGCGGGGUGGGUGCUGGGAAACGCCAUAGAGAAGGAGCAUCUCACCUUCCCUCUGUUCACACCUGUUGCCACUCAUGUAGUUCAGCAUGAAUUUGGUGGUUCUUGCCUUUUAUUUUUUUUUCUUACCCUUCAUUAUGUGAUGAAGUGUGAUAUGAAAAUGGCCCUUGUAAUUCCUGCCUCCAGUGCAUUCCUUCUCUUCCCUUAUUCAUUUACAUAUCCUCUCCCUGUCUUUCAUUCUUGCAAAUACGGGUAAAAUAACGUUUGGAUUUUGCCUAGCGUAGUUAGUACUUGUAUUGGGCUGUUCUUGCACAGCUAUAAAGACAUACCUGAGGCUGGGUAGUUUGUAAAGAAGAGGUUGAACUGGCUUGCAGUUCUGCAGGCUGUACAGGAAGCCUGGCAGCAUUUGCUUCUGGGAGGCCUUGGGAAGCUCUGACUCAUGGAGGAGGGUGAAGAGGGGUCAGGCAUGUCUUGACUCACGGCCAGAGCAGGAGGAAGGCAGGGAGGUGCCACACACUUUUAAAUGACCAGGUCUUACCACAGCUCAUUCUCUGUCUCCCAUGGGAACAGCACCGAGGAGACGGUGCUAAACUCUCCCUGAAGGACCCACCCCCAUGAUCCAGUCAGCUCCCACCAGGCCCCACCUCUAACACCGGGGACAACACAGAUCCAAACUGUAUUACUACACAGGUGUGUUUCUCCGUUACUAGUGUUGAUCAUUGUGCUGUAGUUAAAGCUGAAGUUACAGAUUUGAUAUCCUAAGACUUAUGUUAAUUUCUGUGUAUUGGUAUAUGUUGUGUUCCAGCUUGUUCUGAAAUAUGCUUAUUAUGCAU